rnacentral:rRNA from 1 species
GCCUUAGUAACGGCGAGUGAAGCGGCAAAAGCUCAAAUUUGAAAUCUGGUACCUUUGGUGCCCGAGUUGUAAUUUGGAGAGUACCACUUUGGGACUGUACUUUGCCUAUGUUCCUUGGAACAGGACGUCAUGGAGGGUGAGAAUCCCGUGUGGCGAGGGUGUCAGUUCUUUGUAAAGGGUGCUCGAAGAGUCGAGUUGUUUGGGAAUGCAGCUCUAAGUGGGUGGUAAAUUCCAUCUAAAGCUAAAUACAGGCGAGAGACCGAUAGCGAACAAGUACAGUGAUGGAAAGAUGAAAAGAACUUUGAAAAGAGAGUGAAAAAGUACGUGAAAUUGUUGAAAGGGAAGGGCAUUUGAUCAGACAUGGUGUUUUGCGCCCCUUGCCUCUCGUGGGCUUGGGACUCUCGCAGCUCACUGGGCCAGCAUCGGUUUUGGCGGCCGGAAAAAACCUAGGGAAUGUGGCUCUGCGCCUCGGUGUAGAGUGUUAUAGCCCUGGGGAAUACGGCCAGCCGGGACCGAGGACUGCGAUACUUGUUAUCUAGGAUGCUG